CCNCAGGUCANCCGAGUUGUAAUCUAUANAAGUGUUUUCCGUGCUGGCUCAUGUACAAGUCCCUUGGAACAGGGCGUCAUANAGGGUGAGAAUCCCGUCCUUGACAUGAACUACCAGUGCUCUGUGAUACAUUUUCAACGAGUCGAGUUGUUUGGGAAUGCAGCUCAAAAUGGGUGGUAAAUUCCAUCUAAAGCUAAAUAUUGGCGAGAGACCGAUAGCGAACAAGUACCGUGAGGGAAAGAUGAAAAGCACUUUGGAAAGAGAGUUAAACAGUAUGUGAAAUUGUUGAAAGGGAAACGAUUGAAGUCAGUCGUGNUCUUUGGAUUCAGCCGGUUCUGCCGGUGUACUUCCUUUGAGUGGGGUCAACAUCAGUUUUGAUCGCUGGAUAAAGGCUGGAGGAACGUAGUACCCUCGGGUAAACUUAUAGCCUCCUGUCACAUACAGUGGUUGGGACUGAGGAACGCAGCACGCCUUUAUGGNCGGGAUUCNUCCACGUACGUGCUUAGGAUGUUGACAUAAUGGCUUUAAACGA
rnacentral:rRNA from 1 species